GAUGAACGCUGGCGGCGUGCCUAAUACAUGCAAGUCGAGCGAACAGACGAGGAGCUUGCUCCUCUGACGUUAGCGGCGGACGGGUGAGUAACACGUGGAUAACCUACCUAUAAGACUGGGAUAACUUCGGGAAACCGGAGCUAAUACCGGAUAAUAUAUUGAACCGCAUGGUUCAAUAGUGAAAGACGGUUUUGCUGUCACUUAUAGAUGGAUCCGCGCCGCAUUAGCUAGUUGGUAAGGUAACGGCUUACCAAGGCAACGAUGCGUAGCCGACCUGAGAGGGUGGUCGGCCACACUGGAACUGAGACGCGGUCCAGACUCCUGCGGGAGGCCGCAGUAGGCAAUCUUCCGCAAUGGGCGAAAGCCUGACGGAGCAACGCCGCGUGAGAUAUGAAGGUCUUCGGAUCGUAAAACUCUGUUAUUAGUGAAGAACAAAUGUGUAAGUAACUAUGCACGUCUUGACGGUACCUAAUCAGAAAGCCACGGCUAACUACGUG
rnacentral:rRNA from 1 species